rnacentral:rRNA from 1 species
UUAAUAAUAUUUUAUUAUAGAAUAUAUUCCGUUUUAAAAUAAAUUUGUUGAUAAAUUAUUUUUUUUGUUAGUGUACUAAUUAAUGAUUUAAUUGUUUUAAUUAUAGUAGAAUUGUACUGUAGAGGUGUAAAAGGAUAAAUUUAUUUAUAAAGUUAAAAUUUUUUUGUACCUUGUGUAUCAGGGUUAAUUAAAAGUAAGUUAUUUAAAUUUUAACUGUCUUGAUUCCAUUAGAGUUAAUAAAUUAAUUGAGUUAUUGUUUUAUAAAUAUUUAAAAUGAUUUAUUAGUAGUGAAAUGCUAUUCGUUUAUGGGGAUAUCUAGUUUUCUUGGAAAUAAAUUUAAUUUACAUAUUUUUGAAGUUAUUUGUUUAAUAUGACUAUUAAGGGGGAUAAUCUCUUUAAUAAAAGUUUACAAGAUUUUUUAUAUUUAAAAAUUUUAUGAAUUUAAGAAUAGUUAUUAAUAUAAGUUUGUUUUAAUUUAAAUUUGUUAUUAAUUUAAUUUGUAUAUCUUUAAUAUUUUACUGGAAAGUUUUAUUUAAUUUUUAAUUAGUUUUUAUAAUGAUUAAAUUAGUAUAAUAUUUAUUAUUAGUUAUAAAUUAAUUUUAGGAAUUAGGCAAAAUUAAUUAUUCGCCUGUUUAUCAAAAACAUCUUUUUUUGAAUUUAAUAUAAAAUAUGACCUGCCCAAUGAUGAAUUUAAUUUUAAUGGCCGCGGUAUUUUGACCGUGCAAAGGUAGCAUAAUAAUUAGUCUUUUAAUUGAAGGCUGGAAUGAAUGGUUGAGCGAGAUAAAAUCUGUCUCGAAUUAAUGAAUUUGAAUUUAAUAAUUAAGUAAAAAAGCUUAAAUUUGUUUAUGGGACGAUAAGACCCUAUAGAAUUUGAUAAUUUUAUUUAUGAUUUAGUUUGGAAUCUAAUUAAUUAAUUAAAUUAUUUGAUUGGGGUGAUAAUGAGAUAAAAAUAACUCUUGUUUUAUUAUAAAUAUAUAUAUAUAUAUUAUUGAUCCAAUUAUAUUGAUUAUAAGAUUAAAUUACCUUAGGGAUAACAGCAUAAUCCUUUUUAAGAGUUCUAAUUGACAAGAGGGGUUGUGACCUCGAUGUUGGAUUAAGAUAAGAUUUUUGUGUAGGUGCUUAAAAUCUAGGUCUGUUCGACCUUUAAUUUCUUACAUGAUCUGAGUUCAAACCGGUGUGAACCAGGUUGGUUUCUAUCUAUGAAAGUAUUAUAAAUAUCUUAGUACGAAAGGACCAGUUAUUUGAAAUAAUUUCUGUUUGUUUGAUUUUAAUUAAAUAUA